rnacentral:ncRNA from 1 species
UUAUCAAGAGAGGUGGAGGGACUGGCCCUAUGAAACCCGACAACCGGCAUUUGCAACAUGAAUGUAGCGGUGUCAAUUCCUGCAGGAUUUAAAAUGAUCCUGAAAGAUAAGA